AACGAACGCUGGCGGCAUGCCUAACACAUGCAAGUCGAACGGGAUCCUAGCUUGCUAGGUGAGAGUGGCGGACGGGUGAGUAACACGUGGGAAUCUGCCUUUGUUCGGGAUAACCGCGGGAAACUGCGGCUAAUACCGAAUGCCCUCGAGAGAGGAAAGAUUUAUCGCCAGAAGAGGAGCCCGCGUCCGAUUAGGUAGUUGUGGGGUAAAGGCCUACCAAGCCGACGAUCGGUAGCUGGUCUGAGAGGAUGAUCAGCCACACUGGGACUGAGAUACGGCCCCAGACUCCUACGGGAGGCAGCAGUGGGGAAUA
rnacentral:rRNA from 1 species